UACGUAGGGGGCAAGCGUUGUUCGGAAUUACUGGGCGUAAAGGGCGCGUAGGCGGCCUUCUAAGUCAGACGUGAAAUCCCCCGGCUUAACCUGGGAACUGCGUCUGAUACUGGGAGGCUAGAGUAUGGGAGAGGGAUGUAGAAUUCCAGGUGUAGCGGUGAAAUGCGUAGAUAUCUGGAGGAAUACCGGUGGCGAAGGCGGCAUCCUGGACCAUUACUGACGCUGAGGCGCGAAAGCUAGGGGAGCAAACGGG
rnacentral:rRNA from 1 species